CCAGAUUCACAACACAUGACUGGGGUCGGGGACAUCCCCACAGCCCGAUUGUGCUGAAGAGGUUGGUUGGAUAUGGACAGCAGAGGCCAGAGGUCGUGGAAAUCGAAUAAACCCAAGAUCUAACCAUCUCUGGUUCGAGUUGCGACGCUGAGAUUCCUCCGUCGCCUGUCCGGAGCGACUACAAUCUGGAUUUUGUUGGGUAUUUGGGGCAGAAUCAUAGUGUUCAAGAUUUUUGCCCCUUUAAUCAAUGCUGGUGUUGCCUAGAUCAAAGCUCAGGAUUCAACAAAGCUCUGUAGAAUUGGAGGCCUUCUUGACCCAUGUAUGCAAGACAAGAACACUGCUUACAUUGAUGCAUUUGGGUGCCCGUGGAAGUCAUGGCUCAGAAUGAAAAUGCCACCGUUUCGUCUAGGAGGCCGAGUGAAUAUUGGAGCUUUAUUUACUAAUUUAAACAUUGGAAGGUAGGCCAAACCAGCAAUCCUAGCCCCAAUUGAUGAAGUUAAUUCUGAUUCAAAGAAUUGGAGGUUGAAGGUGGGAGGACCAUGGUGAUGGGAAGAGAUGAAAUAAAUUUGUGGGUAAAUGGAAUUGGAGGUAAAUGAAAUUGCACAAGCGGGAAACUUGAAAUAUUCUGAGCCGACGAACGCGGCAUGUUGAAUUGAGCUCCAGUCCUUUCUUAGAGCUUUAUUGUAUGUGUGAGAGAGAUUUUUUUUUUUUUAGAAAAAUAAAUAUAAGUGAUUUUUAUUGAUUUUUUUUAUAGAUAAUGAUAAUCACAUAAAUGAUUAUUAAAUCGGUAAUUGUCAAUUAAUCGUAAGUUUUAGGUUUGAACUAUUGAUGAGUCCCCGUUCUAUCUCAAAGUCUUCUGAA